GUUGCAACCUUCUACUUCCCGGUGCUGGGGAUUUUUAUUGUUUCCUGCUGAGGAUUCCUGUUGUAACCUUCUGCCUUCUGGUGGGUUACUGAUUUCAAAAUCUGUAGUAUAAGACUCAAAAGUAUUCCUCUCAUUAUACAGGUAGGCGCCUGAAACAUAAAAUGUAAAGACUGAAAAGUAUUCCUCUCAUUAUACAGGUGGGCGCCUAUUUAAACUGAGACAUAAAAAUAUUCCUCUCAUUAUACAGGUGGGCGCCUAAUUAAACUAAGAACAUAGAAAUAUUCCUCUCAUUAUACAGGUGGGCGCCUAUUUAAACUAAGACAUAAAAAUAUUCCUCUCGUUAUACAGGUGGGCGCCUAUUUAAACUAAGACAUAAAAAUAUUCCUCUCGUUAUACAGGUGGGCGUCUAUUUAAACUAAGACAUAAAAAUAUUCCUCUCGUUAUAUAGGUGGGCGCCUAUUUAAACUAAGACAU
rnacentral:lncRNA from 1 species